GAUGAACGCUGGCGGCGUGCCUAACACAUGCAAGUCGAGCGAUCUCUUCGGAGAGAGCGGCGGACGGGCGAGUAACGCGUGGGUAACCUGCCCUGUACACACGGAUAACAUACCGUAAGGUAUGCUAAUACGGGAUAAUAUAUAAAAGUCGCAUGGCUUUUAUAUCAAAGCUUUUGCGGUACAGGAUGGACCCGCGUCUGAUUAGCUAGUUGGUAAGGUAACGGCUUACCAAGGCGACGAUCAGUAGCCGACCUGAGAGGGUGAUCGGCCACACUGGAACUGAGACACGGUCCAGGCUCCUACGGGAGGCAGCAGUGGGGAAUAUUGCACAAUGGGCGAAAGCCUGAUGCAGCAACGCCGCGUGAGCGAUGAAGGCCUUCGGGUCGUAAAGCUCUGUCCUCAAGGAAGAUAAUGACGGUACUUGAGGAGGAAGCCCCGGCUAACUACGUGCCAGCCGCCGCAGUAA
rnacentral:rRNA from 1 species